UAGGGUGACUGGCCUGGUGUCCCUUCAGGACAGACACAGAGUAAAGAGGAAAAGAGAAAACAAAUUUAUAUUUAUUGGGUAUUUAUCAGGAGUCAGUCCCCAAACUGAGCACUUUACAUGGAUUAUCUGAUUUAAUUUCCAUAACAAUAGUUUGGGGUUGAUAUUAUUAUUUUCAUUUUUGAAAUGAAAUACUGAGGCACAGUUGGCAAAUAACUUUUCAAAAAGGAUUCUUAGUUAAGACAAGCAGGAGUGGAAUUGUAAAUAGGUUUUUCUAGGCCCCAGUGCGCAGGCUAAUGGUCUCACCAUGGCACAGGAAACAAAGAAUGCUCUCAUUUUUAAAACAAAAGCUCAGCAACAGCCAUAUUCUGGAGUUGUUCUCGUCAUUGAAAAAAAAAAAAAAGGCAACAUCUUCAAAAGCAAAAAGUAUCUUCCCUGUUCUUUUAGGAUCUGAGCUAGUACUUACUAUCUAAUAAUGUGACCCACAUACCCAAAAUUACAUGUUUUAGUAGAUGCAUUUUUAAAAAGUUAAAAGAAAUAGGUACAAUUAAGUAUAAUAAUAUUUUAACUCAAUAAAUAUAUACAUAAUAUUACUUCAAUAUAGACAAUAAAAGAUUGUUAAUAUCAGUUCUUUGCAUAGUAUAUUUUCAGAAUCUGAUGUGCAUUUUACACACGCAGCAUAUCUGGACUAGCCAUAUUUUAAGAGUUCAGUAACCAUAUGGCUCUGGGAACUGCCUUGUUGGGCAGCAUAGAUCUGGAUGGCUCUAGUUAACUAGACUGGAUAAACAAUUUCAGAUAGGGAAAUGUUAGGCCUUCUUCAUUAAAAUAGCAACAUAUCCAUUGUCAUUUCUUCUCUAUUACUGACCUUCUUCUCACUUGGUGCUGCAAGAAGAUGAAUAACCUAGGUUUUAGAGUCAGGUCUCCAUAAAUCUCUGCUCUACCUCUUAGUAGCUAUGUGUCCUUGAACAUGUUAUUUCACAUGUCUUGGCCUGUUUUCUCGUUUACGAAAUGGGGAGAAUGAUGCCUAGAUCAGAAGGUAUUAAUAAGUUAGAUAUAAAUCUCCUGGUACAUGACACUUGCUCCAUAAGUAGGUUUUCUUAAUACUAAAAUUGAAUCUCAUUUUUCUUCUGUGUGGACUUUAAUAGAGAUUGCACUAUUCUUGACACAGAAAUUCUAUAUAGUUUACUAUACUACAUAUCACAUCCCACCACCCCCUGCCCUGGCCCCACCUCAUUGCUUCACCCAUAAUUGUGAAUCUGGGUUAGUCAAUUAUUCACCCUCUGUGAUUAGAUAAAAAAUUGAUAUGGAUCUAAUACAUGUUGAUGUAUUUAUUGUUUUCUGAUACAUUGGAGUUUCCUGCAGAAUGACAUGUGUGGGCUAAUUGGGAUAAUUUACAACCUUUUAGAAAUCCCAUUAGCUCAUUUAUAGAUGAAUACUCUGUAGUAUUGAGCUCUUUAAGUAUUUAAGCUCUUUAAGGCCCAUCUACUAUCAACUAGAAGGAAAGGAAACUAUAGACCUUCUACCCAUUCUGUUCUUUCUCCCCAAGGAAAACAGGUAAUUAAAAUUCCCCACAUAUUUUCUCUUGUUUUUUCCUGGUCCUGAGCUAAAUGCAGGAAUCUCCUUAUGUUAAUCUAAAAAGUGCUGCAGGCCCAUGUAUGCUUCUUGAGGUUUUUUUCCCAACGGUAAAUAGAAAAUGCCUACUGAAGCAGGAGCUGUGUGCUCAAAACUCAUUUGCAUUCAUUUCCCAAAUUAAAAAUAAAACCCAAAUUUACAGUAAGAUUUUCUCAUAUAGUGUCUUAUUCUCUCAAAAGUUAGUUAAUAAACUAAAAUUUAAGAAAUAUUCACUAAAAUAUUAUUAUAACAUGAAUUCUGUACGUUAAUAUCAAAGUAAUAGAACAUAGUACGCAUAUGUUGUAUAAAGAGGAUCACUAACAUGUGUGUUGUGCAUAUGCUGACAAGCACUUGUAGGUGUGUAUGCAAUUUACAGGCUAGUGUACUAUUAAAUGGUUUGGUAGAAAAUGAGAGAAAUGGGAGUCUCAAUAAGUCAUAUAAGUAUAAUCAUUCAAAAUUCAUCAGAUAUUUUAUAAUUAUUUUAAAUUUUACUGUUAGGUUGUGAACAGAAAUACUUUACUACCUAUGUCUUUUAUAGAUGAGAAAGCUAAGGUCCAGAGCAUUUAAGUGGUUUUCUUGGGGAUAAUUUUUGGCUGGGCAAAGGAUGUCACUUCACCUGUACUACUGUAUCUGUUGAAAACUUACUGGUGAAUUAAUCAAGAACUAACAUGGUUAUGCACCAGUUUUGUUUUUUUUUAAAUUUUUUUUUUAAAGAUUUUUAUUUAUUUAUUCAUGAAAGACACAGAGAGAGAGAGGCAGAGACACAAGCAGAGGGAGAAGCAGGCUCCAUGCAGGGAGUUCGACAUGGGACUGGAUUCCUGGACUCCAGGAUCACACCCUGGUCCAAAGACAGGCACUAAACCGCUGAGCCACCCAGGGAUCCCCGGUUAUGCACUAUUUUAUAGAUUUUCACAGGACUUGCUUUGCUGAAUAAAGCCUUUUCUUUGGUUAGAGAAAAUAGUCUGAUUUAUAAAUGUAAAUGCAUUUUUGAGGUUACAAACAUCAGCUUCAUCUCUUAAAGAGGUAGUAUUUGUAGUACUGGAAAGCAUUAUUUAAUGUCAGCUCCUCAUUCUACCUUCAUGGCUCUACCACUUUUUGACUGUAUAACAUUGGAGAGAAUCAUCAUACCACUAGUCAUUGUGGGGCAAGAAGAAAAAAAAAAGAAAAGAAAAAACAAAAAACACAUAUAAUUAAAAGGGAUAUGGUCAAAGAUUCAAACUUGUUUUCUAUGAACACGUCUGUUGGCUGCAACAGGUGCAGAUGGACAAAGAGUUUGCCUAUCUGAGUAUCUGUAAGUGAAAAAAAAAAAAACAAAAA
rnacentral:lncRNA from 1 species